rnacentral:lncRNA from 1 species
AGUUGGACUAUUACACUGCAACUGUUAUCCUGCAUGGUAACCACAGUUAAGCAUAAUGUUUAUUUCAAUAUUGCUAAAAUAUAUUUAAAGGACUGAUUGACUAUUUUCAGGGUGUCCCAGGAUGGCCUGAACUGGAUAAUAGAGAAUUUAUGCUAUACUGUACUAUCUAUAUGUAUAUGAAAUAUAGUGGUGGAUUCUCUUUCACAGGAAUUUCCUCAAAAAGAUCUUCAUGGAAUGGAAAUACUUCUGAAACUUCUCCAGUUUGUAGUCUUUUGAAAGAAAAAAAUCAGAAAAUCCUAAGACAAAGCAUACAGGAUCUUAACCAUUUCCCACAGGGCUGGGAUUACAAGUGUGAACCACUGCACCCAGCCUCUUUUUGUAUCUAGAAAUGUUUGUGCUAUUUUGUUCUGAGCCCUUUUUAUUAACAUCUUCAUAUAAUCUAUAAUUUUAUUAACAUCUGUAAAUAAUACCUUUAGUCCCAAAUCAUUUUUCUUUAUGGGAGAUUCGAUGGCCAUUUUUUUCUUUAUUAAUGUUUAAGUGAGAUAAGUUUUCUUGUACUCUUAGGAGAGUGAACCAGGAUAGCUUCCUAGCUCUAGAGAUUUAGAGUUGCCUUUUCUGUUAUUUU